GAUGAACGCUGGCGGCGUGCCUAACACAUGCAAGUCGAACGGAGUCCAGCCUUUAAGACCUUCGGGUCAAAGAGGGGAAGACUGAGUGGCGGACGGGUGAGUAACACGUGGGCAACCUGGCUCAUAGAGGGGGAUAACAGAGAGAAAUUUCUGCUAAUACCGCAUAAGCACACACUGCCGCAUGGCAGAGGGUGAAAAGAGAAUCGCUAUGAGAUGGACCCGCGUCUGAUUAGCCAGUUGGCAGGGUAAGAGCCUACCAAAGCGACGAUCAGUAGCCGAUCUGAGAGGAUGAACGGCCACAUUGAGACUGAGACACGGCCCAAACUCCUACGGGAGGCAGCAGUGGGUGAUAUUGCACAAUGGGGGGAACCCUGAUGCAGCGACGCCGCGUGAGUGAAGAAGUAUUUCGGUAUGUAAAGCUCUAUCAGCAGGGAAGAUAAUGACAGUACCUGAAUAAGAAGCCCCGGCUAACUACGUG
rnacentral:rRNA from 1 species